rnacentral:rRNA from 1 species
GAUGAACGCUGGCGGCGCGCCUAAUACAUGCAAGUCGAACGAAGGUAGCAAUACCUUAGUGGCGAACGGGUGAGUAACACGUAGGUAACCUGCCUUUCAGUUGGGGAUAACCGAGGGAAACUUUGGCUAAUACCGAAUUCGUGCUUCGAAGGCAUCUUCGGAGCAUAAAAAGGGGCCUUUAAAAGCCUCGCUGAUUGAUGGACCUGCGGCGCAUUAGUUAGUUGGUGAGAUAACAGCCCACCAAGACGAGGAUGCGUAGCCGACCUGAGAGGGUGAUCGGCCACACUGGAACUGAGACACGGUCCAGACUCCUACGGGAGGCAGCAGUAGGGAGUUUUCGGCAAUGGGGGAAACCCUGACCGAGCAACGCCGCGUGAGUGAUGAAGGUCUUCGGAUUGUAAAGCUCUGUUAUAAGGGGAAGAACGGCAGCUAGAGGAAAUGCUAGCUGUUUGACGGUACUCUAUGAGAAAGCCACGGCUAACUACGUGCCAGCAGCCGCGGUAAUACGU